rnacentral:rRNA from 1 species
AGGUAAUCCGACUGUUAAAUGAAAACAAAGCAUUGC